GACACAGGGUGCUGCAGUGGCUGUUCGUCAGCUCGUGUCGUGAGAUGUUGGGUUAACGUCCGUAACGAGCGCAACCUUGUCCUUAGUUACCAGCACGUUAUGGUGGGCACUCUAAGGAGACUGCCGGUGACAAACCGGAGGAAGGUGGGGAUGACGUCAAGUCAUCAUGGCCCUUACGGCCUGGGCUACACACGUGCUACAAUGGUCGGUACAAAGGGUUGCCAAGCCGCGAGGUGGAGCUAAUCCCAUAAAACCGAUCGUAGUCCGGAUCGCAGUCUGCAACUCGACUGCGUGAAGUCGGAAUCGCUAGUAAUCGUGAAUCAGAAUGUCACGGUGAAUACGUUCCCGGGCCUU
rnacentral:rRNA from 1 species